GCAGGUAUAGCUCAGUGGCAAAGUGCGUGUUUGGCAUGCGUGAGGUCCUGGAUUCAAUCCCCAGUACCUCCA
rnacentral:tRNA from 1 species